GUGUCAGCAGCCGCGGUAAGACGAGCCACACAAACGUUAUUCGGAAUUACUGGGCUUAAAGGGUGCGUAGGCGGCGCGGAAAGUUGGGUGUGAAAUCCCUCGGCUCAACCGGGGAAUGGCGCCCAAAACUACCGUGCUCGAGGAAGACAGAGGUGAGCGGAACUCAGGGUGGAGCGGUGAAAUGCGUUGAUAUCCUGAGGAACACCGGUGGCGAAAGCGGCUCACUGGGUCUUAUCUGACGCUGAGGCACGAAAGCUAGGGUAGCGAACGGGAUUAGAUACCCCUGUAGUCC
rnacentral:rRNA from 1 species